rnacentral:rRNA from 1 species
GAUGAACGCUGGCGGCGUGCCUAAUACAUGCAAGUCGAGCGAACAGAUGAGGAGCUUGCUCCUCUGACGUUAGCGGCGGACGGGUGAGUAACACGUGGAUAACCUACCUAUAAGACUGGGAUAACUUCGGGAAGCCGGAGCUAAUACCGGAUAAUAUAUUGAACCGCAUGGUUCAAUAGUGAAAGACGGUUUUGCUGUCACUUAUAGAUGGAUCCGCGCCGCAUUAGCUAGUUGGUAAGGUAACGGCUUACCAAGGCAACGAUGCGUAGCCGACCUGAGAGGGUGAUCGGCCACCCUGGAACUGAGACACGGUCCAGACUCCUACGGGAGGCAGCAGUAGGGAAUCUUCCGCAAUGGGCGAAAGCCUGACGGAGCAACGCCGCGUGAGUGAUGAAGGUCUUCGGAUCGUAAAACUCUGUUAUUAGGGAAGAACAAAUGUGUAAGUAACUAUGCACGUCUUGACGGUACCUAAUCAGAAAGCCACGGCUAACUACGUG